GACGUAGGGCGCGAGCGUUGUCCGGAUUCAUUGGGCGUAAAGGGUGUGUAGGUGGCGCGCUAAGUCGGGUGUGAAAUUUCGGAGCUUAACUCCGAAACUGCAUUCGAUACUGGCGUGCUUGAGGACUGGAGAGGAGACUGGAAUUUACGGUGUAGCAGUGAAAUGCGUAGAUAUCGUAAGGAAGACCAGUGGCGAAGGCGGGUCUCUGGACAGUUCCUGACACUGAGACACGAAGGCCAGGGGAGCAAACGGG
rnacentral:rRNA from 1 species